UAAAAAAAAAAGGAAAAGAAAAGUAGUGUAUUCUCUCUUGGCAUCUACCUAUAAUGAAAGAAAAAAAUUACUUGUUGGCUAGUUUGUACACAAAGUUUCCUUCCUUCUCUUUGGAUGGAUCUCUUAGAGUAAUCACUUCGGUUUAGUUUCUAUCCCAUGUGGAAGUGUCUUCCGUAAUUUAUAUUUUCUUCAGAAGACCCCUCGGCUGCUCAGAUCCAAAAUUAAGUUCUUGACAACCUUGUUUGGAGUGACAAGAAUUGGCUCAAUGAUUCUUACCGGCAUGUAUUGCUUUCCUUUAUAGACUAUUACAAAGAAAAUUAAGGAAAGAAGUUUGCUAUACAAAAUUAACGUCCCUAAUUUUAUCGCAGCUACCAAUUCUAUAAAAGUUAUACACAGAAACCCCUAAUUAGCUAUAAAUGAUGUAAUACCCCCCUUAAUUUGAUGUUGGUGAGUCCACAAGCAUCAAUUUACCUACAAGAAAAUCAUGAUAGAGGCUAGGCAAGGAUUUGGUGAAGAUAUCAAUGAUUUGUUGAGUAGUGGAAAUGUCGGGAAGAGUUAUGACCCUAGAAUCAUAGGCAUCUGGGAUGUCGCAUUUUGAAUAGCGCUAGUGUUGCCACCAUGGAGAGGUGUAGGCUGUGAUUGGGGAACUCCAAGUUCUACUAGAAGGCUUUGCAACCACACAAUCUCUGCAUUCAGUCUCAGUGGAGGACUUAGAAACACAAUCCUAUUUCAUACAUUACUAAGAAAUAAGAACAUUACCUAGAAAGAUACACCACCCAGUUGUAGAUCGACGAAAAUCAAGACAGUCAGCCCAAUCAGCAUCACUAUAGACAGUGAACUCAAGGGACGUCCCCUUAGGAAAGAAUAGACCACGAUGAGAGUCCCAAUAAGAUAUCUAAUAAUGUGGCGGACAGCCACCAAAUGAAGAUGACAAGGAGCAUCCAUAAAUUUGUUACGGUAUGUACUGCGAAGGAAAUAUCUGGACGCGUGAUGGUGAGAUAGAUCGGAAUCUCCUCCAACCUCCAAUUUAGAGUAAGUUUUGGAAGAAUAUCGACUUUAUCUUUUAGGUAUUUGACAUUAACUUCCAACGGAGUAUCAACUGAGAAGGCUUCAGAUGAAUUAGCCAACCUAAUCAAGUCUUUAAUAUACUCAUAUUGAUUCAAGAAGAUGCCAUGUGGUGCUGAAUUAACCUCCAAAUCAAGAAUAUAAGUGAGACGACCAAAGUUUUUCAUAAGAAAAACAAAGUAAAGACGUUGGAGCUUCUGAAUAAGUAUGUCAUCAGAGCCAGAGAUAAUAAUAUCAUCCACAAACAUCAACAAGAGAACAAUGCUAGUAGUACUCUUGUGAAGGAACACAGAUGCGUUCUACUGACUGUGGGUAAAGGAAAAAUCCAAGAGAGUGCAGCGGAGCUUGUCAAACCAUGCUCGAGGGACUUGCUUGAAACCAUAAAAAAAUCGUUUUAGUUUACAUAUAGAGUCGAGGGAAUACGCAUACCUGAUGGAAGUUUAAUACGAACGUCUUCUUUGAGGUCUCCAUGUAAGAAUGCAUUCUUUACAUUUAUUUGAUGCAAAGACCAAGACCUAGAGGUGGCAAGUGAUAACAAGAGAUGAAUGGUGGUCAUUUUAGCCAACGAAGCAAAUGUCUCAUCAAAGUAUGGAUUUCAUAUGGUUAGAAGAAAAAGUGGCGUGUCUUCUCUCUUGGGCAUCUAACUAUAAGAAAAGAACAAAAAAUUACUUGUUUGUCUAUUUCCAAAAGGAAGUUUCCUCCCACUUCUUAGGGUCAGUCUCUUCUGACAGUGAGACUUUUAUCUUUAGAGUAAUUGAUUUGCCUAAGUUUCUAUCAUAAGUGAAAUUGCCUGCUUGUUAAUUAUGUUUUCUUCCCAUUGUUAAGAGACUCUCCUUCUUGAACUGAGAAUGUAGCUGAUAGCAUCAUUAUAAUUUUCCUCUUCGACAUGUUCACUCUUUUUCCUUUUCAAGAUGACGUGCAUCCGUCUGCUUGGUAUCGCUCCUCUUUUCUUUGAAAGGCUUUCUAGAAAUUGUGGCAUGAUAUUGGAAAAUGUAGAUACCAUUAAGUUGUUUUAUGAUUUGACAGAUUGGGGAAAGUCAUCAACUUGGCUCUUUUGCUUGGUCUAAAAACAUUCUGCAGUAAUAAAACUGCUUCAACAAUCGGUGACCAUUAACUUUUUUUCCGCCAAUUUUCAUAUACAUUAUAAAAUGUUAUUGGUGACUAAUUAUUUUGAUUGCUUACUUGGACUGCAGAAAACUUCUUAAAGAUGAAGUGAAUAAGCAAAUAGCAAUCCUUUCUGGUUUAUUAUGGGAGAAAAGUUCUGGCAUUCGGGAUGACCAGUAUAAAGUCAAAAUCUUCACCUUUUGAUGAGUCGUUGCAGACGAGAAAGCUUUUAACAGAAGAUUCUGUUUUUUUUCUUGAUGGAACAAAAAUGCACAUUGUAGACUUCGAAGCAUUGAUCAAUAUGGAGAAAGGUGACCUUGAGGAGGAUCCAUGGGAAUUCUCUUUUAAAAAAUGCACAUUGUAUAGUCUUCAGUGGUUUCUAGAAAUUUUAAGGACUGAAAUGAAUUUUUUUGUGAAAAAUUAAGACCCAUAAUUUAUGGUCUUGAAAAUAUUGUAAUGAUGACUCGUAAUGAGAAAUUGGGUUUAGGUUUAAGACUGGAGGUUGGAGCCUAAAUGCAGUAAGUGUAAAGUUAAGAAGCUAAAUUGUAGAUAUUGAGAAAUAUAUUAUUAGAUGAGAA
rnacentral:lncRNA from 1 species